rnacentral:rRNA from 1 species
UACGUAGGGGGCAAGCGUUGUCCGGAAUCAUUGGGCGUAAAGAGCGCGUAGGCGGCCCUGUAAGUCCGCUGUGAAAGUCAAGGGCUCAACCCUUGGAUGCCGGUGGAUACUGCAGGGCUAGAGUUCGGAAGAGGCGAGUGGAAUUCCUGGUGUAGCGGUGAAAUGCGCAGAUAUCAGGAGGAACACCGAUGGCGAAGGCAGCUCGCUAGGACGAGUACUGACGCUGAGGCGCGAAAGCGUGGGGAGCAAACAGG